AUUGAACGCUGGCGGCAGGCCUAACACAUGCAAGUCGAACGAGUGGCGGACGGGUGAGUAAUGUCUGGGAAACUGCCUGAUGGAGGGGGAUAACUACUGGAAACGGUAGCUAAUACCGCCUACCAUCGGAUGUGCCCAGAUGGGAGUAGCUAGUAGGUGGGGAAAAGGCUCACCUAGGCGACGAUCCCUAGCUGGUCGGAGAGGAGGCACAGCCACACUGGAACGGAGACACGGUCCAGACUCCUACGGAAGGCAGCAGGGGGGAAUAUUGCACAAGGGGCGCAAGCCGGAUGCAGCCAUGCCGCGUGUAUGAAGAAGGCCUUCGGGUUGUAAAGUACUUUCAGCGGGGAGGCGUUACUCGCAGAAGAAGCACCGGCUAACUCCGUGCCAGCAGCCGCGGUAAUAC
rnacentral:rRNA from 1 species